GACGAACGCUGGCGGCGUGCCUAAUACAUGCAAGUCGAGCGAGUCUGCCUUGAAGAUCGGAGUGCUUGCACUCUGUGAAACAAGAUACAGGCUAGCGGCGGACGGGUGAGUAACACGUGGGUAACCUGCCCAAGAGAUCGGGAUAACACCUGGAAACAGAUGCUAAUACCGGAUAACAACAGAUGAUGCCUAUCAACUGUUUAAAAGAUGGUUCUGCUAUCACUCUUGGAUGGACCUGCGGUGCAUUAGCUAGUUGGUAGGGUAACGGCCUACCAAGGCGAUGAUGCAUAGCCGAGUUGAGAGACUGAUCGGCCACAUUGGGACUGAGACACGGCCCAAACUCCUACGGGAGGCAGCAGUAGGGAAUCUUCCACAAUGGACGCAAGUCUGAUGGAGCAACGCCGCGUGAGUGAAGGAGGGUUUCGGCUCGUAAAGCUCUGUUGUUGGUGAAGAAGGACAGGGGUAGUAACUGACCUUUGUUUGACGGUAAUCAAUUAGAAAGUCACGGCUAACUACGUG
rnacentral:rRNA from 1 species